rnacentral:lncRNA from 1 species
GUAAAUGUAACGCAUGCGCAAUUUGUUUUCUUCCUGUGCCCUGUUAUUCCCUGUCUGUGCUGUUCGAAGAAGACAAAUUUCGUCUUGGAAGAGGAGGACAUGUAAAUUAUUCAAAACAAUCCACAAAGUUAAUGUACACAUUUAAAAUGGAUCCGAGAAGUGGAAACAGAAGGCAUUGGAGUGACACAAAAGAGAAAUCACAUUUUUGGUCUAAUUGCACAUGCUUGUUCAGUAUAAUACUGUUGGUGAUAUUUUCUCUAUUCCUGCUGGUAAUGAUCGUAUUCGGACGGAAUUUUAUGACGCCAGAGCUGUAUUUGAUGGAUCUGAUAAUUGAAAACAGAACACAUACUGCACACUAGUACAUUUAUACUUUCCUGUUUGCAUUGGAUAUGAUAUGUGGUUCUGACGAGGUUAUGAUUAUAUGCUGAAAUUCAAAUGCUGUCCUUACAUACAUGUGUUCUUAAUCUGCAAAGCAUAGAAGAAGACAAACAUUUUACCUUUUGAAACCUGUUAUAUCAGAUGAGAACUAUAUUUAUUAUAUAAACAGUUUCAAGAACCAUAUCAUAUCAUAUCAGAUAAAUCCUAUGUUAUCUAAUGGAAUAUUGCAUUGUUAAUCAGGGCUUUCUCUGCAAAUAGAUGCUUUUCCUCCCAAGAUCAGUGAGAAGGUCAGUUGACACCAAGAACAUGGAAAAAAUAGAAGUUGAACUUGCACAAAAAAGUACUAGUGUGAUUAACAUUCAGCCUUCAGGAAAAUAUUUCAUGUAUGGACUUUUGAUAAAGGUCUUUGGAUGGAAUAGUUAACGGCCAGUUUGUUUGACUCAUUCGUGUUUGAUUAAAAUUGUGAUGCAGAAGCAUGAAGGGAAACAUUCCUUUAUAGAUGUAUACAAUUGCAGUAUGCAUAUAUAGAAUAGCAGGAUAUAUCAUUAAAUCCCCUCUCCAUUUCUUAUUUAAGGGGUACAAAAUGUUUAAACGCACACAAUGAUCCUGUCAUCAACAAGGAUGUCAAUUAAAAUAACAAUAUUUGUCUUUUUAAUGGGUUUUGUUUACAAGUUCCAAUAACAAUUGUAAUCAUCUGUUUAGUUGUUCAAAAACAAAUGCAGCUUAUCUAGAAAAUAGAUAGCAGAAAAUGUAAUUUAUGCAAAAUUGUUAAUAUGUUUCUCAACUAAAUCUAUUUGAGUAGUAGAAACUGGAUUUAGAGAAGAUUUGAUUCGUUUCUGUUUCAAAACCUGCUUGUAUACAUGCAUAUAUUUGCUGUUGCUUAGGGUGAUUGGUAUCUAUAUUUACAUAUUAGUAGUGUACAAGGUGUUUCUGAAGAGUUUCUUACCUGUGAUGCUGAGGCAAAUGCCUCCCAUCUGAAUUCCAUCCCAAGAGUAACUUCCUCUAGAUAUCUUCCAGUACAUUGUAUAGUAUCUCAAUGAUAUACAAAGAGAUGUAUGGAGAUCCAGGCUUACCACGUAGGCAAUGUGAAAGGGAAGUGAUAGUACAUAACCCAACAGCUUUCAGACCUUCAAAUUAUCAGACAACCAAGAAGAAUUGGUUGGGAGGUGUACAUGGUAACUUAGUUGCUCAGAAAGUAUUUUAAUAAAUUGGAAAUGAACAUUUUUGGACAUCAAUAAGCUUUCAAAUAAGACUUUCUUUUUUGUAAAGUAAUCUGUUAUUAAAUAGUUAUCAACUGUAGUAUUGUUUAUUUUGAUGUUGCUUUUUAAAUGAGCUUGGCCCAUAUAAUACUGCCACAUAAAGGCACAGUUACUGUUAAACACUAUACAGGAAAUCAUUUAUAGGCUUUCAUUCUGUGCCUUGCUUGAUUACCUUGAGUGACUGAAAGGUCAAAUGUGGACCAAGGACAUCUCAGGACCUUAACAUUCCAGUAAGACUGUUCUUGGCGGAGUUUUAUUUUAUUAAUUUAUCAAGCACUUUUUUUCAAGUGGAGGUCUGCACUGUCAGAAUGCCAUCUGGUUAUUUUAUAUUUUCAAAUUUUUAUAAAUAAAAAUAUUUACCUGUU